rnacentral:rRNA from 1 species
AAAUUGAAGAGUUUGAUCAUGGCUCAGAUUGAACGCUGGCGGCAGGCCUAACACAUGCAAGUCGAGCGGUAACAGGAAGGAAGCUUGCUUUCUUUGCUGACGAGCGGCGGACGGGUGA